rnacentral:rRNA from 1 species
GAUGAACGCUAGCGGCAGGCUUAAUACAUGCAAGUCGAACGGCAGCGGGUGUAGCAAUACAUGCCGGCGAGUGGCAGACGGGUGAGGAACACGUACACAACCUCCCUCUUACUUGGGCACAACUCCGAGAAAUCGGGGCUAAUUCCCCAUAACAUCCCGAUAAGACAUCUUAAUGGGAUUAAAACUCCGGUGGUAAGAGAUGGGUGUGCGUCUGAUUAGCUAGUUGGUGAGGUAACGGCCCACCAAGGCAACGAUCAGUAACUGGUGUGAGAGCACGACCAGUCACACGGGCACUGAGAUACGGGCCCGACUCCUACGGGAGGCAGCAGUAAGGAUAUGUCAAUGGGCGCAAGCCUGAACCAGCCAUGCCGCGUGAAGGAUGAA